UUUAGGAUUUACUCCAGACUUGCGCCUGGGUGGGGCCACAUCCACCGCAACCCGAAACAGGAUCAAGCGCCUUGUGAAUAAAUUGACUCCUGUGAUCGACUCCAUCUACAUGAACAACUGCUGUCAGAAUCAGAGUCGACUCCAACAUCUCAGCCCUAGCUCCCAAACUUCACUUCCGGCCAGAGCACUAAAACCUUUGUAGCAGAUCCUUCCGCGGACUUAAUGUUUACCGUUUUUUUUCAUAGCUGUCUUUAAAUUCUUAUUUUAUAAGUAUGCAUGACACAUGUUUUUCAUACACACAACCUGUAAGCAUUUAUCUUCAAAGGUAAAAUUGACAUUAUGUAAAGCCUGGCGUUUUAUUACGUGUAUUUUGACGCGCUUUGGUACACUGGAUUGGGGUGUGUUACAUCAGACAGCUGGAAUGCCAUGCAGCGGGAAUGUGAGGAACGAAGCAGCUGCAGCUCCCACUCAGCGUUUAUCUAAAGCGAUUAGAUUAGUACACAACAAUAAGUAGCAACUCAUGCAUGUUUGCACUGUUUUGCUUGUAUUUACCCUUUUACACAGGGGUAAUUGUGUCUUGUACGACGAUGGUUUUGAAACAAAGAAUUCUCUCAUUACGCUUAUUUGUGUAGGACUGUAAAUAAAAUCUACUAUUUCCGAC